GAUGAACGCUAGCUACAGGCUUAACACAUGCAAGUCGAGGGACCGGCGCACGUGUGAGUAACACGUAUCCAACCUGCCCUUUACUCGGGGCUAGCCUUUCGCAAGACAGAUUAAUACCCGAUAUAAUGGAUGGGGAUGCGUUCCAUUAGGUGGUUGGUGAGGUAACGGCUAACAAAGCCUUCGAUGGAUAGGGGUUCUGGGAGGAAGGGCCCCCACAUUUGAACGGAGGCACGGUCCAAACUCGGACGUGAGGGAGCAGUGAGGAAUAUUGGUCAAUAGGCGCUAGCCGGAACCAGCCAAGUAGCGUGAAGGAUGAAGGCUUAUGGGUCGUAAACUUCUUUUAUAUAAGAAUCGGUAUUAUAUGAAUAAGGAUCGGCUAACUACGUGCCAGCAGCCGCGGUAAUAC
rnacentral:rRNA from 1 species